UACGUAGGGUGCGAGCGUUAAUCGGAAUUACUGGGCGUAAAGCGUGCGCAGGCGGUUUUGUAAGACAGGCGUGAAAUCCCCGGGCUUAACCUGGGAAUUGCGCUUGUGACUGCAAGGCUAGAGUGCGUCAGAGGGGGGUAGAAUUCCACGUGUAGCAGUGAAAUGCGUAGAGAUGUGGAGGAAUACCGAUGGCGAAGGCAGCCCCCUGGGACGUGACUGACGCUCAUGCACGAAAGCGUGGGGAGCAAACAGGAUUAGAUACCCUGGUAGUCCACGCCCUAAACGAUGUCAACUAGUUGUUGGGGAUUCAUUUUCUCAGUAACGUAGCUAACGCGUGAAGUUGACCGCCUGGGGAGUACGGUCGCAAGAUUAAAACUCAAA
rnacentral:rRNA from 1 species